rnacentral:rRNA from 1 species
UUACAUUGGGGGAUAGCCUUUCGAAAGGGAGAUUAAUACCGCAUAAGACAGUAGCUGGGCAUCCAGCAGCUGUUAAAGAUUUAUCGAUGUAAGAUGGGCAUGCGUCCAAUUAGUUAGUUGGCGAGGUAAUGGCUCACCAAGACUUUGAUUGGUAGGGGAACUGAGAGGUCCAUCCCCCACACUGGCACUGAGAUACGGGCCAGACUCCUACGGGAGGCAGCAGUAGGGAAUAUUGGGCAAUGGACGCAAGUCUGACCCAGCCAUGCCGCGUGCAGGAUGAAGGCGUUAUGCGUUGUAAACUGCUUUUAUACAGGAAGAAACGACUCUUGCGAGAGGCAUUGACGGUACUGUAUGAAUAAGCACCGGCUAACUCCGUGCCAGCAGCCGCGGUAAUACGGAGGGUGCAAGCGUUGUCCGGAUUUAUUGGGUUUAAAGGGUGCGCAGGUGGUUUAUUAAGUCAGUGGUGAAAGACGGUCGCUCAACGAUUGCAGUGCCAUUGAAACUGGUAGACUUGAGUAAAGUAGAGGUGGGCGGAAUUGAUAGUGUAGCGGUGAAAUGCAUAGAUAUUAUCAAGAACUCCAAUUGCGUAGGCAGCUCACUUGGCUUUUACUGACACUCAUGCACGAAAGUGUGGGUAUCAAACAGGAUUAGAUACCCUGGUAGUCCACACUGUAAACGAUGAUAACUAGGUGUCGGCCGAAUCUGGUCGGUGCCACAGCGAAAGCGUUAAGUUAUCCACCUGGGGAGUACGCCGGCAACGGUGAAACUCAAAGGAAUUGACGGGGGUCCGCACAAGCGGU